rnacentral:rRNA from 1 species
AUUGAACGCUGGCGGCAUGCCUUACACAUGCAAGUCGAACGGCAGCACGGGUGCUUGCACCUGGUGGCGAGUGGCGAACGGGUGAGUAAUACAUCGGAACAUGUCCUGUAGUGGGGGAUAGCCCGGCGAAAGCCGGAUUAAUACCGCAUACGAUCUUCGGAUGAAAGCGGGGGACCUUCGGGCCUCGCGCUAUAGGGUUGGCCGAUGGCUGAUUAGCUAGUUGGUGGGGUAAAGGCCUACCAAGGCAAAGAUCAGUAGCUGGUCUGAGAGGAGGACCGGCCACACUGGAACUGAGACACGGACCAGACUCCUACGGGAGGCAGCAGUGGGGAAUUUUGGACAAUGGGCGAAAGCAUGAUACAGCAAUGCCGCGUGUGUGAAGAAGGCCUUCGGGUUGUAAAGCACUUUUGUCCGGAAAGAAAUCCUUGGCCCUAAUACGGUCGGGGGAUGACGGUACCGGAAGAAUAAGCACCGGCUAACUACGUG